rnacentral:rRNA from 1 species
GACAGAGGUGCCGAGCGUUAGGCGGAAUCACUGGGCUUAAAGCGUGUGUAGGCGGGUCCGUAAGUACCUUGUGAAAUCCCAUGGCUCAACCAUGGAACUGCUUGGUAUACUACGGAUUCUUGAGCCACCUAGGGGCAAGUGGAACAAACGUGGAGCGGUGAAAUGCGUAGAUAUCGUUUGGAACGCCAAUGGUGAAAACAACUUGCUGGGGGUGUGCUGACGCUGAGACACGAAAGCCAGGGGAGCAAACGGG